rnacentral:ncRNA from 1 species
GAGGAAGGGCGUAGCGACGAAAUGUUUCGGGGAGUUGAAAAUAAGCAUAGAUCCGGAGAUUCCCAAAUAGGUCAACCUUUUGAACUGCCAAAUUGGCAAGGAGUAUUUAUAUCUUGACAA